CCUACGGGAGGCUGCAGUGGGGAAUAUUGGACAAUGGGCGAAAGCCUGAUCCAGCCAUGCCGCGUGUGUGAAGAAGGCCUUCGGGUUGUAAAGCACUUUCAGUGGGGAAGAAAGCCUUGGGGCUAAUACCCUCGAGGAAGGACAUCACCCACAGAAGAAGCACCGGCUAACUCCGUGCCAGCAGCCGCGGUAAUACGGAGGGUGCGAGCGUUAAUCGGAAUUACUGGGCGUAAAGCGCGCGUAGGCGGUCUGAUAAGCCGGUUGUGAAAGCCCCGGGCUCAACCUGGGAACGGCAUCCGGAACUGUCGGGCUAGAGUGCAGGAGAGGAAGGUAGAAUUCCCGGUGUAGCGGUGAAAUGCGUAGAGAUCGGGAGGAAUACCAGUGGCGAAGGCGGCCUUCUGGACUGACACUGACGCUGAGGUGCGAAAGCGUGGGUAGCAAACAGGAUUAGAUACCCGAGUAGUC
rnacentral:rRNA from 1 species